UACGUAGGGUGCGAGCGUUGUCCGGAAUUAUUGGGCGUAAAGAGCUCGUAGGCGGUUUGUCACGUCUGCUGUGAAAUCCCGAGGCUCAACCUCGGGCCUGCAGUGGGUACGGGCAGACUGGAGUGCGGUAGGGGAGAAUGGAAUUCCUGGUGUAGCGGUGGAAUGCGCAGAUAUCAGGAAGAACACCAAUGGCGAAAGCAGCUUUCUGGGACGGUACUGACGCUGAGACGCGAAAGCGUGGGGAGCGAACAGG
rnacentral:rRNA from 1 species